CCUGGUGGAGGUGGCGAGGUGAGGGAGGUCCGCAGACUGGGAUGUCAGGGUGGAAAGAUGUUGACAUCUUUGAGUUUGGAGGUGCUUGGAGGAGCUGAGAGGACACCGCCACCGUUUCCUUAUCAUGACAUCUGCCUCACUCUUCCCGAGGGUCAAGCCAGCACUGCAGGAGGGUUAAGGAAAUACGUGUUAUGGUCACAGAGUUUAGCUAAAUGGGAUAAAGAUGCUGGAGCAAACUGAGAACCAGAUAAGGGCAGGUUCAAUGUACCUGGCUCUUCUCAGAACUCCCUUCUGUAGGUUUAAACCACAUGCUGAUUAUAUAUACGCAAGACUGUUAUUUUUAUGUCUUUUUCACAAGACUGGGGGUUAGUUUACAUUAAUUAUCAUAUAGCAUGUCAUUAAUGACUGAUAUUUUUUGCUUACUUUAUGAUACCCAUUAAAAGUACAUGUAG